rnacentral:rRNA from 1 species
GGGUUGUGAGGUUAAGCGACUAAGCGUACACGGUGGAUGCCCUGGCAGUCAGAGGCGAUGAAGGACGUGCUAAUCUGCGAUAAGCGUCGGUAAGGUGAUAUGAACCGUUAUAACCGGCGAUUUCCGAAUGGGGAAACCCAGUGUGUUUCGACACACUAUCAUUAACUGAAUCCAUAGGUUAAUGAGGCGAACCGGGGGAACUGAAACAUCUAAGUACCCCGAGGAAAAGAAAUCAACCGAGAUUCCCCCAGUAGCGGCGAGCGAACGGGGAGCAGCCCAGAGCCUGAAUCAGUGUGUGUGUUAGUGGAAGCGUCUGGAAAGGCGCGCGAUACAGGGUGACAGCCCCGUACACAAAAAUGCACAUGCUGUGAGCUCGAUGAGUAGGGCGGGACACGUGGUAUCCUGUCUGAAUAUGGGGGGACCAUCCUCCAAGGCUAAAUACUCCUGACUGACCGAUAGUGAACCAGUACCGUGAGGGAAAGGCGAAAAGAACCCCGGCGAGGGGAGUGAAAAAGAACCUGAAACCGUGUACGUACAAGCAGUGGGAGCACGCUUAGGCGUGUGACUGCGUACCUUUUGUAUAAUGGGUCAGCGACUUAUAUUCUGUAGCAAGGUUAACCGAAUAGGGGAGCCGAAGGGAAACCGAGUCUUAACUGGGCGUUAAGUUGCAGGGUAUAGACCCGAAACCCGGUGAUCUAGCCAUGGGCAGGUUGAAGGUUGGGUAACACUAACUGGAGGACCGAACCGACUAAUGUUGAAAAAUUAGCGGAUGACUUGUGGCUGGGGGUGAAAGGCCAAUCAAACCGGGAGAUAGCUGGUUCUCCCCGAAAGCUAUUUAGGUAGCGCCUCGUGAAUUCAUCUCCGGGGGUAGAGCACUGUUUCGGCAAGGGGGUCAUCCCGACUUACCAACCCGAUGCAAACUGCGAAUACCGGAGAAUGUUAUCACGGGAGACACACGGCGGGUGCUAACGUCCGUCGUGAAGAGGGAAACAACCCAGACCGCCAGCUAAGGUCCCAAAGUCAUGGUUAAGUGGGAAACGAUGUGGGAAGGCCCAGACAGCCAGGAUGUUGGCUUAGAAGCAGCCAUCAUUUAAAGAAAGCGUAAUAGCUCACUGGUCGAGUCGGCCUGCGCGGAAGAUGUAACGGGGCUAAACCAUGCACCGAAGCUGCGGCAGCGACGCUGAUGCGUUGUUGGGUAGGGGAGCGUUCUGUAAGCCUGUGAAGGUGUACUGUGAGGUAUGCUGGAGGUAUCAGAAGUGCGAAUGCUGACAUAAGUAACGAUAAAGCGGGUGAAAAGCCCGCUCGCCGGAAGACCAAGGGUUCCUGUCCAACGUUAAUCGGGGCAGGGUGAGUCGACCCCUAAGGCGAGGCCGAAAGGCGUAGUCGAUGGGAAACAGGUUAAUAUUCCUGUACUUGGUGUUACUGCGAAGGGGGGACGGAGAAGGCUAUGUUGGCCGGGCGACGGUUGUCCCGGUUUAAGCGUGUAGGCUGGUUUUCCAGGCAAAUCCGGAAAAUCAAGGCUGAGGCGUGAUGACGAGGCACUACGGUGCUGAAGCAACAAAUGCCCUGCUUCCAGGAAAAGCCUCUAAGCAUCAGGUAACAUCAAAUCGUACCCCAAACCGACACAGGUGGUCAGGUAGAGAAUACCAAGGCGCUUGAGAGAACUCGGGUGAAGGAACUAGGCAAAAUGGUGCCGUAACUUCGGGAGAAGGCACGCUGAUAUGUAGGUGAGGUCCCUCGCGGAUGGAGCUGAAAUCAGUCGAAGAUACCAGCUGGCUGCAACUGUUUAUUAAAAACACAGCACUGUGCAAACACGAAAGUGGACGUAUACGGUGUGACGCCUGCCCGGUGCCGGAAGGUUAAUUGAUGGGGUUAGCGCAAGCGAAGCUCUUGAUCGAAGCCCCGGUAAACGGCGGCCGUAACUAUAACGGUCCUAAGGUAGCGAAAUUCCUUGUCGGGUAAGUUCCGACCUGCACGAAUGGCGUAAUGAUGGCCAGGCUGUCUCCACCCGAGACUCAGUGAAAUUGAACUCGCUGUGAAGAUGCAGUGUACCCGCGGCAAGACGGAAAGACCCCGUGAACCUUUACUAUAGCUUGACACUGAACAUUGAGCCUUGAUGUGUAGGAUAGGUGGGAGGCUUAGAAGUGUGGACGCCAGUCUGCAUGGAGCCGACCUUGAAAUACCACCCUUUAAUGUUUGAUGUUCUAACGUUGACCCGUAAUCCGGGUUGCGGACAGUGUCUGGUGGGUAGUUUGACUGGGGCGGUCUCCUCCUAAAGAGUAACGGAGGAGCACGAAGGUUGGCUAAUCCUGGUCGGACAUCAGGAGGUUAGUGCAAUGGCAUAAGCCAGCUUGACUGCGAGCGUGACGGCGCGAGCAGGUGCGAAAGCAGGUCAUAGUGAUCCGGUGGUUCUGAAUGGAAGGGCCAUCGCUCAACGGAUAAAAGGUACUCCGGGGAUAACAGGCUGAUACCGCCCAAGAGUUCAUAUCGACGGCGGUGUUUGGCACCUCGAUGUCGGCUCAUCACAUCCUGGGGCUGAAGUAGGUCCCAAGGGUAUGGCUGUUCGCCAUUUAAAGUGGUACGCGAGCUGGGUUUAGAACGUCGUGAGACAGUUCGGUCCCUAUCUGCCGUGGGCGCUGGAGAACUGAGGGGGGCUGCUCCUAGUACGAGAGGACCGGAGUGGACGCAUCACUGGUGUUCGGGUUGUCAUGCCAAUGGCACUGCCCGGUAGCUAAAUGCGGAAGAGAUAAGUGCUGAAAGCAUCUAAGCACGAAACUUGCCCCGAGAUGAGUUCUCCCUGACCCUUUAAGGGUCCUGAAGGAACGUUGAAGACGACGACGUUGAUAGGCCGGGUGUGUAAGCGCAGCGAUGCGUUGAGCUAACCGGUACUAAUGAACCGUGAGGCUUAACCUUACAACGCCGAAGCUGUU